GGAAGGAUCUCUUUUGGAGAUCCCCUCUUUUGGUAUCUUCUGGUGAGCUCAACCGAAGGAUGGUAGCAGAGAGGUAGUCUGACAAAAUGACAUCUGAGUGCAUACGAAGCAAAAGCGUGCCACUGAAUUCCUCCGUGCAGAAGAAAUUGUACCCACUGAUGUUUGUCGACUUUUGCAGAAUGUUUAUGGAAACCAAACAGUGAAUAUUGACAGAUUAAGAAGAGGGGGCUGUAUACGGAGCUGAACAUCAGUUUUAGUGCACUGGAAACAGUUGGAAUAUCACAAAAUUUGCAACAGAAGCACCAAGUGUUCAACAUCUGCUGCACCCAGAUGAAGCUUCACUACAUUAGAGCAAGGAAGUGCCAUAUUCUGAGGCAGAUCUCUCCAGUGGAAGGAAAACUCUAAGUUUGUAUAUGGAAUGCAUGCGGGAAGAAUUGAGAAAAACUUCUGUCAUUGCCAUAAGUCGGCAGGUCCCUCUGUAACGGUGGAAAAUAAUCUGCCAAUACAAAGACAGAAUAAAAUUAAUGAAGUUGA